UUCCGGUUGAUCCUGCCGGAGGCCAUUGCUAUCGGAGUCCGACUAAGCCAUGCUAGUCGCAGGGGUUCAGCCCCCUGGCGAACAGCUCAGUAACACGUGGCCAAACUACUCUAUGGACCCGGACAACCUCGGGAAACUGAGGCUAAUCCGGGAUAACGCUCCCCCGCUGGAAUGCCGGGAGCGUGAAAGGCCCCGGCGCCAUAGGAUGUGGCUGCGGCCGAUUAGGUAGACGGUGGGGUAACGGCCCACCGUGCCCAUAAUCGGUACGGGUCAUGAGAGUGAGAGCCCGGAGAUGGUAUCUGAGACAAGAUACCAGGCCCUACGGGGCGCAGCAGGCGCGAAACCUUUACACUGCACGCAAGUGCGAUAAGGGGACUCCGAGUGCGAGGGCAUACAGUCCUCGCUUUUGUACACCGUAAGGUGGUGUACGAAUAAGGGCUGGGCAAGACCGGUGCCAGCCGCCGCGGUAAUACCGGCAGCCCGAGUGAUGGCCGCUAUUAUUGGGCCUAAAGCGUCCGUAGCUGGCCGGACAAGUCCGUCGGGAAAUCCAUCCGCCUAACGGAUGGGCGACCGGCGGAAACUGUUCGGCUUGGGGCCGGAAGACCCGAGGGGUACGUCCGGGGUAGGAGUGAAAUCCCGUAAUCCUGGACGGACCGCCGGUGGCGAAAGCGCCUCGGGAGGACGGACCCGACAGUGAGGGACGAAAGCUGGGGUCUCGAACCGGAUUAGAUACCCGGGUAGUCCCAGCCGUAAACGAUGGCCGCUAGGUGUGGCGCAGGCUACGAGCCUGCGCUGUGCCGUAGGGAAGCCGUGAAGCGGCCCGCCUGGGAAGUACGUCCGCAAGGAUGAAACUUAAAGGAAUUGGCGGGGGAGCACUACAACCGGAGGAGCCUGCGGUUCAAUUGGACUCAACGCCGGACAUCUCACCAGCCCCGACAGUAGUCGUGACGGUCAGGUUGAUGACCUUACCCGAGCUACUGAGAGGAGGUGCAUGGCCGCCGUCAGCUCGUACCGUGAGGCGUCCUGUUAAGUCAGGCAACGAGCGAGACCCGCACCCCUAGUUGCCAGCAGCAGCCACUGGCUGGCUGGGUACACUAGGGGGACUGCCGCUGCCAAAGCGGAGGAAGGAACGGGCAACGGUAGGUCAGUAUGCCCCGAAUGGGCUGGGCUACACGCGGGCUACAAUGGCCGGGACAAUGGGAUGCGACCCCGAGAGGGGAAGCUAAUCUCCUAAACCCGGUCGUAGUUCGGAUUGAGGGCUGAAACUCGCCCUCAUGAAGCUGGAUUCGGUAGUAGUCGCGUGUCAGAAGCGCGCGGCGAAUACGUCCCUGCUCCUUGCACACACCGCCCGUCAAAUCACCCGAGUGAGGUCCGGAUGAGGCCGCCGAGAGGCGGUCGAAUCUGGGCUUCGCAAGGGGGAUUAAGUCGUAACAAGGUAGCCGUAGGGGAAUCUGCGGCUGGAUCACCUCCUU
rnacentral:rRNA from 1 species